rnacentral:misc_RNA from 1 species
AAGUCGUAACAAGGUCUCCGUAGGUGAACCUGCGGAGGGAUCAUUAACACGUUUUAAAACACGUUUUAACUACCCACCAACCACGUGAACUAUUUAAACUCCUGGAAGAAAAGAAUUCUGUCUCUACAUACUAAUGAUGAGCUCUCGCUUGCGGGAGCGGUGUGUCUUGACUAGCAUUGCUGUUAGUGUUGCGCAAGCAUAUUAACUGACAUGUACAGACCUUUUCUUUUGGGCUAAAUGCUUCUCUCAUCACUGGAGCGAAAACACCCCUUUCACCAUUUCUAUAACCAUUGACUGAUCUUUUUCUUUGCAAUAUAAGAAAAAACUAAUCAAAUAUCUAAGCACAACUCUUAGCAACGGAUAUCUUGGUUCUC